rnacentral:rRNA from 1 species
UACGAAGGGGGCUAGCGUUGCUCGGAAUUACUGGGCGUAAAGCGCACGUAGGCGGAUUGUUAAGUCGGGGGUGAAAUCCUGGAGCUCAACUCCAGAACUGCCUUCGAUACUGGCGAUCUCGAGUUCGGGAGAGGUGAGUGGAACUGCGAGUGUAGAGGUGAAAUUCGUAGAUAUUCGCAAGAACACCAGUGGCGACGGCGGCUCACUGGCCCGAUACUGACGCUGAGGUGCGAAAGCGUGGGGAGCAAACAGG